ensembl:snRNA U2 U2 spliceosomal RNA
UCCUCUUCUUGGACUUUUGGGUAAGAUCAAGUGUAGUAUCUGCUAUUAUCAGUGUUAUAUCUGAUACGCCCUCUAUUUAAGGACUAAAUAUUAAAUGGAUUUUGGGGCCUGGGAUGGAAUAGGGGCUUGUUUCAUCCAUUCCAAGCAUCGACCUAGUAUUGUAGUGCCUCCAGGAACGGUGCACCAGAA